CUUGAUGCUAUGUUUCAAUAUAUUGAUUUAUAAUUAUUGUACAUACUAGAUCUAUUGCUUUUCACGUGUAUAUACAUUAUAGUUGUGAGACGCCAACUGCCCAGAGGGAAACCACGCCAUUCGCAAAAAUACGCCUAAUUCCCUCUCACGUCUAAAGUUCUUUCAAAAUGGUGGUCGUACUUUUUUGAAGGUACUAUAAUUAAUUAUUGUUGUAAGAAUUGAUGUGAAAAAACAUAUUGCAGGAUGAUGUUGAAAGUGACAUGUGUUGGAGAGAGCAUUAUACUGGACACCCUUGUAUGACCAGACCACUGUAAAGUAUCGACACAAUUGGAGGUGAUGCUGAGAAGUCAAAGGCAUUAUCUUGCAAUUGCAGUAAUCUGAGUGCAGACUUGCUAUGUUUAACUAUGUUAAAAGAAACCUUUCACUUUUGUAUAUCCUUAUCGUUUGUUUAGAUACAAUUUUAAUACUGAAUUGAUGUAUUGUUGUUUUUAAUG